AACCCCUAUUCUCAGUUGCCAGCACAUAAUGGUGGGCACUCUGUGGAGACUGCCCGGUUAACCGGGAGGAAGGUGGGGAUGACGUCAAGUCAUCAUGGCCCUUACGCCUAGGGCUACACACGUACUACAAUGGUGGGUACAAAGGGCAGCGAAACCGUGAGGUCGAGCGAAUCUCAAAAAACCGGUCUCAGUUCGGAUCGAAGUCUGCAACUCGACUUCGUGAAGCUGGAUUCGCUAGUAAUCGCGCAUCAGCCAUGGCGCGGUGAAUACGUUCCCGGGCCUU
rnacentral:rRNA from 1 species